rnacentral:rRNA from 1 species
UACGGGGGGAGCAAGCGUUGUUCGGAUUUACUGGGCGUAAAGCGCACGUAGGCGGCUUUUAAGUCAGGGUGAAUCCUGGAGCUCAACUCCAGAACUGCCUUUGAUACUGAGAGCUUGAGUCCGGGAGAGGUGAGUGGAACUGCGAGUGUAGAGGUGAAAUUCGUAGAUAUUCGCAAGAACACCAGUGGCGAAGGCGGCUCACUGGCCCGGUACUGACGCUGAGGUGCGAAAGCGUGGGGAGCAAACAGG